rnacentral:rRNA from 1 species
UACGGAGGGUGCAAGCGUUAUCCGGAUUCACUGGGUUUAAAGGGUGCGUAGGCGGCGCGGUAAGUCGGGUGUGAAAUCUUGGAGCUUAACUCCGAAACUGCAUUCGAUACUGCCGUGCUUGAGGACUGGAGAGGAGACUGGAAUUUACGGUGUAGCGGUGAAAUGCGUAGAUAUCGUAAGGAAGACCAGUGGCGAAGGCGGGUCUCUGGACAGCUCCUGACGCUGAGGCACGAAGGUCAGGGGAGCAAACGGG